GAGUUUGAUCUUGGCUCAGAUUGAACGCUGGCGGCAUGCCUUACACAUGCAAGUCGAACGGCAGCAUGAUCUAGCUUGCUAGAUUGAUGGCGAGUGGCGAACGGGUGAGUAAUACAUCGGAACGUGCCCUGUAGUGGGGGAUAACUAGUCGAAAGAUUAGCUAAUACCGCAUACGACCUGAGGGUGAAAGUGGGGGACCGCAAGGCCUCAUGCUAUAGGAGCGGCCGAUGUCUGAUUAGCUAGUUGGUGGGGUAAAGGCCCACCAAGGCGACGAUCAGUAGCUGGUCUGAGAGGACGAUCAGCCACACUGGGACUGAGACACGGCCCAGACUCCUACGGGAGGCAGCAGUGGGGAAUUUUGGACAAUGGGCGAAAGCCUGAUCCAGCAAUGCCGCGUGUGUGAGAAGGCCUCGGUGUAA
rnacentral:rRNA from 1 species